UUGGUACAAAUAUUUUACAUUUAUUGGAAGAGUACAGUAAAAAGGGGGCUGCAGACUCAUUAGUGGUAACUGGUCCAUAGGAGAAGACACAGGACUAUUCAAAAAAGGUCUGCAGUUUACAAGAAUAUUGAAAUUUUGUUUUAACAGCCUAGGAAAAUAAAAAAGUUAGAUUGGGUUCAAAAAUGUAACUUUAAUAAAAAUUGGCAAAUAAAUAAAGUUAAAAUGCAGAUCUAUUUAAAAUUAUAAAGGACAGAUAACUGGCAACUGUAUUAUAUAGUUAUUUCAGACUUGCUUAAAAGUCAGAUAAAUGCACAACUGUUGUUUCCCUUUUAUCUUUUUUACAUGUGUACUUUUGGGAAGAAGCACCCAUUUCCAGUGUUAUGUUUUAUCAAUCUGUUUCACAAAUAUAUUAUUUUUAAACAACAAAGAGUAUAAAAGGUGCUUUACCUGACAAACUUGCUGGUGCAUACUUUGGCACAAAAUCAAAUAGAAAUCUAAACACAUUUGCAAAUGGUAUCUGUGCUCCACUCAAGGUUACUGGUGUCAAAAGUCUUGUGUGCGCUAGCAGGUCAGUGACCAACCUUCCUUCCAUUCCCAACACCUCUCCUCCAUCUCCAGCUGCCUAUGGUACAAAGGAAAAGUAACACUUGCAACUGAAACAAGCAGCAGUCCCACCAAUCUUAGUCCAACUUCCAUCUCUGGAAACCACAUGAACAUGCAUGUAACUACACACUCCUUUAACAGAAGGGACAAGGCAGGUGUUUGUUGCUGGCUUUCAGACCUCAAGAUUUUCUUUGCAGGAGUCUGCCUGCCUUUUGUGUCCUGUGUGAUGAACCUGUAUCAUGAUUUUUUUCCUAUUUCAUGUUUUUAGCAAAAAUUAGGGGGGAAGUUGAGUGGAAAAAGAAAAAGGUAAGUGGUCAGUUACAGGUAAUGAUACAAUUAACAGCAGAAACAGGUAUGUUUCUUCUAGUAUGUUUCUGUCUAUUGAAGACUUGGAAGACUUUAAAUCUGUGACAUGACUGAGCAGGAGGUGGAAGGAAAAUAAUGCAGCAGCUCCCCACUGUAUAUUGCAUUUCAUGACACAGAAAAAAAUGUCACAAUUUCUGCUUAAAGCACUACAACUUCAGGUGAUUUAAGGAAUUAGCUGCACUCAGAGGUACAGCAGACUUCCAGUCUCUAGUGAAUUUAUUAGCGACUCGCCGUGAGCACAGGCAUAUUAUAAAGAGAGGCCAUGCAGACCUUCUCUAUGGCAUCCUCACUGCAUCCACACUAGCUAUCAGCCACCUGAACUGGCUACCUCAACACAGCAGUUCUCUGAUGAACUAGAGAGGAAGGAACGUACCUUCCUGUCGAGUUCAACUCAAAUAGAAAAAUUACCAUUGCAGAGAUAUCUUGACCAAGGAAUACUGCUGUUCAAACUGUGUAACAGGUUUUAAUUGUACCCAUUACUUCAGUGAUAUUUAAAAUGCAUUAACCCAUAUCAAGUCAGCCAUCCAGUGAAAGAACAGUUCCCUGUAGACUUUUACUGACUUAGCAAUGCUUAUCUUCUGAAGUUGCACUUCGUGGUGGUGGUGGGGGGUAUAAUCACCAGUAUAAGUAAAUGUUCUAUGAUAUGCAGAAGUCAGAUUUCUAAAAGCAAAAUGGAUGACAAUAAUGAAAAUUAACACUAUUUGUAAAGGUGUGUUAAGUAGAAGGAAGUUUACAAAGACGCUUAGUUGGAAUUAAGUCACUUCUGUUAAUUUUAAAGACAGUGUUUGGAACUGGUUGGGCAACAUAAUCAUUCCUUUUCCAAGGAGCAUAUUUAGGGUUAUAUUUAUUCCGUAGUAGAAGCAGGAUGCUCUGUAUUGUAAACUAGGCAGUUGGGAAUGUUGUUUUUCUGAUGUCUUUCGCAGUGUGGACAAUUUACAAUAUAUUUAGAGUUUGUAACAUGAUUAAAAACAUGAUUUGAACAAUGUGCAUCAACUUGAUUCACAGUUACUUCUGUUUUCAUACAAAUACAUUGCCACAGGUAUCAGGGUAUAACAUCACUGCAAUAUUCUUGAGUCAAAAAAAAGAAAAAAAGCAGAGAUAUAUUUGAACUUUUCUGUCACAAGAGUAACUUUUUUUAAGCACGUGAAAGGGCAUCAUCUGUGGUACACGGACACAUCAGAAUCAGGAAAUGUUUGGGAGAUGCAAUAAGGGAGAUUACUACAGCAGAAAUCAGCUAGAACUGUAAGCUUACUGCAGCCCUUCUGAAAAGCAGAAAUAUUCUUUAAGAACUGAAGCGAAACAUCAGAAUAAAGUAGUUUAUAUAUCAUUCAUCCAAGCUUUUUGGUUACUACUGCAUUUAACAAUUAUGGAAUUCUUUACAUGCUGAGAAAGACUGAACUGGCUACAUGCAAAGGCAGUAGUGUGAAUCUUUCUUUAGUGGUGGAAACCUCUGGCAUAUAGUUUCAGUAUGUAACCUAGAGGAAUCAUAGAUCCAUCCAAUUUUUCUUUUAAAAAGCGUAAUUGCCUUAAAUUGAGUUUCAAUGGAGAAGCAUGCACUGUCUCUCUUACCAAACUCAGAAAACUUAAGUUAUGUACUUAUCUAUAACCAUUUGUAGUUCUAAAACUAGAUGACAGUUCCAGAUACUAGCAAUUUAGGAGCACUUUUUUGCAAACUUUCUUUGCCUGUAGCAAUGUGAGUCUUAUGUUAUCAUACUGGUUUGUGAACUUAUUUAUAUUUAUCUAUAAACACAAAGCCAGCUACUGCAAGUUCUAUUUACAAAGCAUUCAAUUCUGGGAGUAUAGAGAAAGAAAGAAUGUAUGUAGUUCAUGGCUUCUCUAUGUUUUCACUUUAUGACCUCUGUCAAUUAUAUUUGAGGGCUUUAUUUAUCCAUUUUUUUGCAAAUAUGGCUAACAGGUUUGGAUUUAGAGAAGGCACACAUAAUCUGAGAUUUAUAAAUGAACUACUCUCAUAGCUAUAAUCUGAAACAGUUGCAAAAUAACAAUGUAUGUAGCUAGCAAUAUAACUAGUCCUUCAUCAGACAAGAAAAAAAAACCCCAAACCAAACCAUCUGAAAAUCCUUACUUAAGUCCUACCUAGAUGAUGCCUAUGAAAAUUGUGUUCUAAACGAGCUAAUAAUGUACAAUUUCCUGAAAAUGAACCAACUCAGAGUUAACACCCAAGUUCUACACCUGGACAUACACUCCAGUUAGAAUUUUAUGUUAAAGAGACAGAGAGACACAACAGGGACAUAAGGGUACCUUUCAGUUACUGGUGGAGGUAGCAUGCCCUUGAAGCAAAAAGUAAAUAUAUCUCUGAACCUUCCUGUUUUCUUGAUAAGUAGUAAGGCUGAAAUACAGAAAUUUCUUUUGCUUAUUUGACAGAGAACCAAGCCCAAAUUGGCUUCUAGAGACAAAUCUGUGAAAUUUUGGGGAUUAGCUGCUGAUUUAAAGACAAUGUCUAGCUUCCAGCUCCUGUUCCGUUUGGUGCUUAUUAUAAUGAACACAAUGACUCUGAUGAUAGCUGAAUGUGGAAGUUAAGGAAAAUGUAGGAGCUGCCAGGCAGAUCUUGCUGCACUUUUCAAUGAGAGAAUCUUCCCUUCUGUGGUCUAAAAGUAAAGUUGAGUGUUUGUAACACACUAAUAUGCAAUGCUGAAAAUUAUGUUAGAGCGGAAACCACACGUGCAUUAUCAGUUUCAGGAAAGAAGAUGUGGCAAUACUUGAAUGACUGUUCAAAAUGUGACAAGUGAAAGUAUUCUUCUGCUUCAGUUUGGACCUUUCAGCUUUUUAAGCUUUUUUAUUUAUUUUUAUUUAUUAUUUAUUUAUUUAGUUAUUUAACGAAAGCUAUCCUGUGGGGAUUCUAGUACAAGAUUACAAAAAAAUAUUUCUUUACUUAAGUUACUCUUACAGAAGCUUGAUAGGUUUCUGAGCCUGAUGCAAUUUUCUUGUAACUUGUUACUGAUGAUUGUUUAAGGACUGCUUCUUUUAUGGUAAAUCUGCAGAAGGAAACUAGAAGCAAGGAUUUUUAACAGAGCUGAUGUUCCAAACUUACCAGAUUACUCUUGAAAACUCCUGGUUGUUUGGAACUUCAGAAAUACUUUACCUGCCCUGUACUUUCUAAUUAGUUAUUAAAGUCCUGUAUUCCUGAAAGUGAAGAAUUGAACGAAUGACUCUAAGAAGGAAAAAAAUUUACCUUGCUUGGUAGUAGGGGUAUUCUUCCCUCUUAUUCUUCCCUCCACAUAUCCUGACUUGCCUAGCAAGAAUGCUUCCAAAAAUAUCACAAGUCCUCUAGUGCUUUAGGAAAAAAAAUUCAUCAGUUUCUUUUAAUAUCAAACUCAUGCUCAGUCAUAGAAUUGUUGCAAAUCCAAGUGCACUCAGGAGAGUGGUUUUUUUCUUUAAUGUCUUUGCAAUGGAUGCAAAAAAAGGUAACAAAAUAGUUAUAAGGGACAGCAAAUAGAUAACUUCAUAGUUUUAGUGAUGUGCAGUAGAUUUCAGUGAUGUGCUUGUAGGAUUUGAGUAAGAAUAAUUGAUGGUCAAAGAAAUGGAUGAAAAAGUACUUUAGUCUGAAAAAUCUACUAUUGCCUUAAAUAGUCUUCUGUUUCUCAUGAGUAAGAUCUGGCUUACUUUACAAACUGCAGUUCUUACUGACAGCCUUCUGGUGAUGCAUGUUCCAAUGACAACUUCCAAUGAAAACAUUAGGAAACUCUGCAGAAAGGCAGAUUUUUGUUAAGAAGAAAUGAAAUAUAACUGUAGCUGCUAAAUGAAAACUAGUUCAUUGGUUUCCUUAGAAACUAAUGAAAAUGUAUGUUUCAAAGAGAACGCAUUGAUGGGAUGCUGACUCUACAAGAUCUCACUUUGCUGAACCAAGGUUUGUUUUCAGACAAGACACUUUUCGCUAUCUUACUUUCCAUUAAAUUAAAAUGCUUAGGAAUCCUCAUGAUUUCACUGAUGACUGAACUCUAAAGCUAACGUGUGCUUAAUUUCCAUUGAAAACAAACUAAGGAUACAUUUUUUUGCCCUCAAAACAAUCUUUCUUAAUAAAUGCAAUUCCUUGGAAAAAGAGGAAAAUAACAGAUAACCUGUUGAAUUCCAUGUUACUUAAUACGCUGAGGCAUUUCUACUUGACUCUAAACAGUAUUCAGUUUCUCCCAUUCAACAGCGUAAAAAAAUCAGGAUUUCCUUAGAGUCUCACUAGUUGGGACAGCGCCGGUGCAAGAACCUACCUGAAACACUACACUUGCAACAGUCUUAACUUUUUUAUAAGUUCUCCAGGAUAAACACAGUACAUGAACCAAAUGGCCAGUAUCUGGCUAACCUAUGAAUUAUGCAAGACUAAGUCAUCAAAAGUCCACAGAAAACAGAUACAGCGGUGUUGGUUAUUGAUUACCAUGUCUUCCUUCUAAAUUUCAUUGUAUGACAGGUUUGUUUAUGAACUCCUCUGUGAGAAGUUCACAAAAGCUUAAACCCAGUAUCUAUAGGUAUGGAUUCCACCUCCUAAAUUAUAUAAUUGCAGUAAUUACAAGUGAGACAUGAUUAACAAGUUCUGCCACAAACCACCAAAUUAAUGGUAAGAAAAAGUUUAAGUAACUGAAGAGACAUGUACCUGUAUUUAGGUUUAUUCUAUACCC
rnacentral:lncRNA from 1 species